UACGAAGGGGGCUAGCGUUGCUCGGAAUCACUGGGCGUAAAGGGUGCGUAGGCGGGGUUUUAAGUCAGGGGUGAAAUCCUGGAGCUCAACUCCAGAACUGCCUUUGAUACUGAGGAUCUUGAGUUCGGGAGAGGUGAGUGGAACUGCGAGUGUAGAGGUGAAAUUCGUAGAUAUUCGCAAGAACACCAGUGGCGAAGGCGGCUCACUGGCCCGGUACUGACGCUGAGGCACGAAAGCGUGGGGAGCAAACAGG
rnacentral:rRNA from 1 species